UACGUAGGGGGCAAGCGUUGUCCGGAAUCAUUGGGCGUAAAGCGCGUGUAGGCGGUUCAGUAAGUCUGCUGUGAAAGUCCAGGGCUCAACCCUGGGAUGCCGGUGGAUACUGCUGGGCUAGAGUACGGAAGAGGCGAGUGGAAUUCCCGGUGUAGCGGUGAAAUGCGCAGAUAUCAGGAGGAACACCGAUGGCGAAGGCAGGUCUCUGGGCCACUACUGACGCUGAGAAGCGAAAGCAUGGGGAGCGAACAGG
rnacentral:rRNA from 1 species